CCAGGAUCCUUGGGAAUCCCUCCUGAAACCCUCCGGAAUUCCAGCUGGAAUCUCUCACAGGAUCCUCAGGAAUCCUUCCUUGGAAUCCCUCAGAAUCCCAGCUGGAAUCCCUCACUGGAUCCUUGAAAAUCCUCCCUGGAAUCCUCAGGAAUCCUGGUUGGAAUCCCCUGUGGAGUCCCCAGGAAUCCUGUCUGGGUUUCCCCCUGGAAUCCUCAGGAAUCUCCCCUGGAAUCCCUACUGGGAUUCCCUGGGAAUUGCUCCUCGAGUCCUUGGAAUCCCAGCUGAAAUUCCCACCCAGGAUCCUUGGGAAUUGUGCCCUGGAAUCCUCGGGAAUCCCUCCUGGGAUCCUUGGGAAUCCCUCCUGGAAUCUUUGCCAACCUCUCCUCGAAUCCCUCUGGGAAUUCUCAGCAAUCCCUCCUGGAAUCCCGGCUGCGAUUCCCCACUGGAAUUGUCCUCAGGAAUCCCAGCUGGAAUCUUCAGGAUCUCUCCUGAAAUCCCAGCUGGAAUCUUUGGGAAUCCCUUCUGA
ensembl:lncRNA